GACGAACGCUGGCGGCGUGCUUAACACAUGCAAGUCGAACGGAAAGGCCUGCUUUCCCUUGUGGAUUGCGGGUACUCGAGCGGCGAACGGGUGAGUAACACGUGAGUGAUCUGCCCCCAACUUGGGUAUAAGCCUGGGAAACUGGGUCUAAUUCCCGAUAGGACUGCAGGGUGGUGCCUGUGGUGGAAAACGAUUUUCUAGUGGUUGGGGAUGAGCUCGCGGCCUAUCAGCUUGUUGGUGGGGUAAUGGCCUACCAAGGCGGCGACGGGUAGCCGGCCUGAGAGGGUGGACGGCCACAUUGGGACUGAGAUACGGCCCAGACUCCUACGGGAGGCAGCAGUGGGGAAUAUUGCACAAUGGGCGGAAGCCUGAUGCAGCGACGCCGCGUGGGGGAUGACGGCCUUCGGGUUGUAAACUCCUUUCGACCGCGAGGAAGCCACCUGGUUGGAAGGGUGGUGACGGUAGUGGUAGAAGAAGCACCGGCUAACUACGUG
rnacentral:rRNA from 1 species